UACGUAGGGUGCAAGCGUUGUCCGGAAUUAUUGGGCGUAAAGAGCUCGUAGGCGGUCUGUCACGUCUGCUGUGAAAACUCGGGGCUUAACCCCGAGCCUGCUUCCGAUACGGGCAGACUAGAGGUAGGCAGGGGAGAGCGGAACUCCUGGUGUAGCGGUGGAAUGCGCAGAUAUCAGGAAGAACACCGGUGGCGAAGGCGGCUCUCUGGGCCUUACCUGACGCUGAGGAGCGAAAGCGUGGGUAGCGAACAGG
rnacentral:rRNA from 1 species